rnacentral:rRNA from 1 species
UACGAAGGGGCUAGCGUUGCUCGGAAUUACUGGGCGUAAAGGGAGCGUAGGCGGACUAUUUAAGUCAGGGGUGAGAAUCCCCGAGAGCUCAACUCUGGAACUGCCUUUGAUACUGGAUGUCUUGAGUGUGGAGAGAGGUAUGUGGAACUCCGAGUGUAGAGGUGAAAUUCGUAGAUAUUCGGAAGAACACCAGUGGCGAAGGCGACAUACUGGCUCAUUACUGACGCUGAGGCUCGAAAGCCGUGGGGAGCAAACAGGA